rnacentral:tRNA from 1 species
GAGUUAGUAGUUUAUGGGAAAAUUUUGGGUUGCAAACCUAGAGAUGCAGAUUUGCUUAACUUU